rnacentral:rRNA from 1 species
UACGGGGGGGGCAAGCGUUGUUCGGAAUUACUGGGCGUAAAGGGCUCGUAGGCGGCCAACUAAGUCAGACGUGAAAUCCCUCGGCUUAACCGGGGAACUGCGUCUGAUACUGGAUGGCUUGAGAUUGGGAGAGGGAUGCGGAAUUCCAGGUGUAGCGGUGAAAUGACGUAGAUAUCUGGAGGAACACCGGUGGCGUAGGCGACAUCCUGGACCAACACUGACGCUGAGGAGCGAAAGCCAGGGGAGCAAACGGG